GGAGAGGUCGCAUAGUGGCCGAGUGCGCUCGCUUGGAAAGCGGGUAUGGGGGCAACUCCAUCGAGGGUUCGAAUCCCUCCCUCUCCGCCA
rnacentral:tRNA from 1 species